GGCGCUUAUGGUGUAGGGGUUAAGCGCACCACCAUAUGCAGAGGCUGCAGUCCUCGAAGCAACUGUCCCAGGUUCGAGUCCUGGACGUGGCGACA